rnacentral:rRNA from 1 species
GACAGAGGGUGCAAACGUUGUUCGGAAUUACUGGGCGUAAAGCGUGUGUAGGCGGCUACGCAAGUCGGAUGUGAAAGCCCCAGGCUUAACCUGGGAAGUGCACCCGAAACUGCGCAGCUUGAGUAUCGGAGAGGUUGGUGGAAUUCUCGGUGUAGAGGUGAAAUUCGUAGAUAUCGAGAGGAACACCGGUGGCGAAGGCGGCCAACUGGACGAAUACUGACGCUGAGACACGAAAGCGUGGGGAGCGAACAGG